rnacentral:rRNA from 1 species
UACAGAGGGUGCGAGCGUUAAUCGGAAUUACUGGGCGUAAAGGGCGCGUAGGCGGUUUAUCAAGUGAGAUGUGAAAUCCCCGGGCUUAACCUGGGAACUGCAUCUUAAACUGAUGAGCUGGAGUACUGUAGAGGAUAGUGGAAUUUCCGGUGUAGCGGUGAAAUGCGUAGAGAUCGGAAGGAACAUCAGUGGCGAAGGCGACUGUCUGGACAGAUACUGACGCUGAGGCGCGAAAGCGUGGGGAGCAAACGGG